rnacentral:misc_RNA from 1 species
AAGUCGUAACAAGGUAACCGUAGGUGAACCUGCGGUUGGAUCAUUAACACUUUGUUAACACCCUUACCAACCAAAUGCGAACUGUAGCGUCCCUAUUCACUUUAUUAUCAGGCUUCGGUUUGGUGGUCGAGUGCGAUAGACAAUACCCCAGUAGUUAUCACAUUAAGACUACCAUCUUUUUGUGAUAAUGAAACCACUUUAUUCACCAUUUUAACCCUUAUAACAUAAAAAUUGUCUAAUCUUCAUAACCUUGUAGACUGCUUCGGCGGUUAAUAAGAUUUACGAAAUAAUGAACAACUCUUAAUAAUGGAUAUCUUGGGUCAU